UACGGAGGGAGCUAGCGUUGUUCGGAAUUACUGGGCGUAAAGCGCACGUAGGCGGCUAUUCAAGUCGGGGGUGAAAGCCCGGGGCUCAACCCCGGAACUGCCCUCGAAACUAGAUAGCUAGAAUCUUGGAGAGGCGAGUGGAAUUCCGAGUGUAGAGGUGAAAUUCGUAGAUAUUCGGAAGAACACCAGUGGCGAAGGCGAUUCGCUGGACAAGUAUUGACGCUGAGGUGCGAAAGCGUGGGGAGCAAACAGG
rnacentral:rRNA from 1 species